CAGUCGCCGCGGUAAUACGAAGGGUGCAAGCGUUAAUCGGAAUUACUGGGCGUAAAGCGUGCGUAGGCGGUUUGUUAAGUCUGCUGUGAAAUCCCCGGGCUCAACCUGGGAAUGGCAGUGGAUACUGGCAAGCUAGAGUGUGUCAGAGGAUGGUGGAAUUCCCGGUGUAGCGGUGAAAUGCGUAGAGAUCGGGAGGAACAUCAGUGGCGAAGGCGGCCAUCUGGGACAACACUGACGCUGAGGCACGAAAGCGUGGGGAGCAAACAGGAUUAGAUACCCGGGUAGUCCCUGUCUCUUAUAA
rnacentral:rRNA from 1 species